rnacentral:lncRNA from 1 species
UUUUCAAAUUUUCAAUGUUUCAAAAUGCCUAUUUACGAAAUGUUACAAUAAAUAUAUAUGGAGGUAGUGAUGCAGUUAUUGGACAAUUAUAGUAUAUUUGAUUCAUAAUUUAACUUCUUUAUAAAGUUUUUGACUGUUUUAGUGAUUGCAUUUGUUUAUUUGCCAUACAUAAAACUAUUGUCGGAAGUAUAUGAUAAAGCGAUUAAUACAUGUUUUU